UGCCAGCAGCCGCGGUAAUACGUAGGGUGCAAGCGUUAAUCGGAAUUACUGGGCGUAAAGCGUGCGCAGGCGGUUUGCUAAGACAGGUGUGAAAUCCCCAGGCUCAACCUGGGAACUGCAUCUGUGACUAGCAGACUAGAGUUCGGCAGAGGGGGGUGGAAUUCCUGGUGUAGCAGUGAAAUGCGUAGAUAUCAGGAGGAACACCGAUGGCGAAGGCAGCCCCCUGGGCCACCACUGACGCUCAUGCACGAAAGCGUGGGGAGCAAACAGGAUUAGAUA
rnacentral:rRNA from 1 species